GCAACCCUGGUGGCGAGUGGCGAACGGGUGAGUAAUAUAUCGGAACGUACCCAGUAGUGGGGGAUAACUAUCCGAAAGGAUAGCUAAUACCGCAUACGAUCUGUGGAUGAAAGCAGGGGAUCUUCGGACCUUGUGCUAUUGGAAUGGCCGAUAUCUGAUUAGCUAGUUGGUAGGGUAAAAGCCUACCAAGGCGACGAUCAGUAGCUGGUCUGAGAGGACGACCAGCCACACUGGAACUGAGACACGGUCCAGACUCCUACGGGAGGCAGCAGUGGGGAAUUUUGGACAAUGGGGGCAACCCUGAUCCAGCAAUGCCGCGUGAGUGAAGAAGGCCCUCGGGUUGUAAAGCUCUUUUGUCAGGGAAGAAACGGUGAUCUCUAAUAUAGAUUGCUAAUGACGGUACCUGAAGAAUAAGCACCGGCUAACUACGUGCCAGCAGCCGCGGUAAUACGUAGGGUGCAAGCGUUAAUCGGAAUUACUGGGCGUAAAGCGUGCGCAGGCGGUUUUGUAAGUCUGAUGUGAAAUCCCCGGGCUCAACCUGGGAACUGCAUUGGAGACUGCAAGGCUAGAGUGUGUCAGAGGGGGGUAGAAUUCCACGUGUAGCAGUGAAAUGCGUAGAGAUGUGGAGGAAUACCGAUGGCGAAGGCAGCCCCCUGGGAUAACACUGACGCUCAUGCACGAAAGCGUGGGGAGCAAACAGGAUUAGAUACCCUGGUAGUCCACGCCCUAAACGAUGUCUA
rnacentral:rRNA from 1 species